CUAGCUGAAGUCACUGCUGUCUGUCUCUCCCUGUCCCUCCAUCCUUCUGGACCAAGGGCAUUGUAAAGGCUGUGGCCAUCGUUCCCAUUUUCAAAAAGUACAAUCCAGAUAAAGCUUAAAGGAGUUCCUGUUGUGGCUCAGCAGAAACAAAUCCGACUAGUGUCCAUCUGACUAGGACGCAGGUUCGACCCCUGGCCUCACUCAGUGGGUUAGGGAUCCGGCUUUGCUGUGAGCUGUGGUAUAAGUUGCAGACUCUGCUUGGAUCCUGCAUGACUGUGGUAGGAGUAGGCUGGCAGCUGCAGCUCUGAUGUGCCCCCUAGCCUGGGAACGUCCAUAUGCCAUGAGUGCAGCCCUGAAAUAAGACCAAAAAAAAAAAGGUAAAGCUUAAGGUUACAUAAACGCUCUUUUCCAACAAACUCUACAAAUUAUUUUGUGAAUGUGAAAGAAAGAGGGGAAUGUUUCUGAGCCAGAAUGGCUUAUGUAAGACCAUGACGGGCUGUAUGAACUGCGUGGUCUUUGAAGGUUUCCUGUGUGACAGAUAUGAUAAGGGCAUGUCAUCAAUGGAUCCUGUCUUGACCUCAACACAACAUUUGAAAUUAAAAUGAAACAGCAACCAGAUGCGCUUGUGGUUAUAGAGCUACAAAGUAUUUGAUAAUUGUGUCAGUACGUAAAAUUGUAACUGGUUUAACAGUUGGGUCUAAAGAGUAGAGCUGACUAAAUCCACAUCAGCCUAGGGGAAGUCAGAGAUGGCUGUAGGGUUCUGGCCCCUUCCUACCCAGAGUGAAUAGGAAAAGUCUGCCAUUGCAUCAUACAGCAGGUCAACAGCCCAAUUAUAAAGACUCUAAGCACUUAACUUCUGUUAUGACAGAGCUUCCUUGGUUGGCCCCGUGGCCUCUGGGACACAUGAUGUGACCUGACAAAUUGGUCUAAAUUGUAUAGCUGCCCCAUUUUAACACACUUUUAUUAUACAUAGAUAUUAAAUUAUUUUGACUAAACCGAUUAGACAAGAUAGUGAUGAUUUGGAUAUUUCAAUAUUGAAAAAAAAAAGGCACUUAUCAGAGCCUCGUAUUUUCCCCGUGUUUACAUUAAAAACAUUAUGUUGAGGAGUUCCCGUCGUGGCUCAGUGGUUAACGAAUCCAGCUAGAAACCAUGAGGUUGCAGGUUUGAUCCCUGGCCUCGCUCAGUGGGUUAAGGAUCCAGCAUUGCCAUGAGCUGUGGUGUAGGUGGCAGACACGGCUUGGAUCUAGGGUUGCUGCAGCUCUGGAGUAGGCCGGUGACUUUACCUCUGAUUAGACCCCUAGCCUGGGAACCUCCAUAUGCCUUGGAUGCAGCCCUAGAAAAAGACAAAAAAACCCCAAAAAAAUUGUGUUGCGAGGGAAGGGAUAAACUAGGAGCUUGAGAUUAACAGAUACGUACUACUAUAUAUAAAAUAGAUGUACAAGAAAGCCCUACUGUAUAGCACAGAGAACUAUAGUCAAUAUAUUGUGGAAAAAUAUGAAAAAAUAUGUAACUAUAUAUGCUUUAUAUAUUAUAGAAUUGAAUAUAUAUGCAUUUGAAUAUGUACAAUCGAAUAUAUAUAUAUAGUGUGUAUAUAUAUAUAGUGUGUGUACAUAUAUAUACACACACAAAUGAAUCACUUUGAUCUACACCAGAAACUAACACAACAUUGUAAAUCAACUAUACUUCAGUAAAAAAAAUUUAUGAGUGAACACACAAGCAGUUGUGAGAAAUAAUAGAAAGAGCUUAUAUACUGUUUAUACAAUUUCCCCCACUGUUCUUGCUUAACCAUAUGGACAGUAUCUCAACCAGAAGACUGACAUUGAUAGGAUCAAUCAACCUUCAGAUCACCCAGCUUUUAGCACCUGCAUACACACCAUUCUAAUAGGUAGGCUGUAAUAGCCCCUUGUGGUUUUAAUUUGCGUUUCUCUGGCUGUUGGUGUGAACAUCAUUUCAUUUGCUGUCUGAAUAUCAUUCUCUCUGGUGACAUGUCUCUUCACGUCUUUUUUUAAAAAGCCCAUUUUCUAAUUAGAUUGUUCAAUUUUUUUUUUUUUUUUUUUUUGCUUUUUUGUCCCCUCACCCAUGGCAUAUGGAGGUUCCCAAGUUAGGAGUCGAAUUGGAACUAUAGCUGCCAUCCUACACCAGAGCCACCGCAAUGCCACAUCCAAGUUGUGUCUGAGACCUACACCAUAGCUCACGGCAACACGGGAUCCUUAACCCACUGAGCAAGGCCAGGGAUCAAACCUGCAUCCUCACGGAUCCUAGUCAGAUCUGUUUCCUCUGGGCCAUGACGGCAACUCCUGAUUUUUUUAAAUCAAUGAGUUUUGAGAGUUCUUCAUAUUUCAGCUGUGAAUCCUUUGUGCUAUUUAUGGUUUGCACAUAUUUUCUUUCAGUCUGUGGCUUCUCUUCUUUUCUACAGAACUUCACAGAGCAAAAAUUUUAAAUUUCGGUAGCAUUCAGUUUAUCAAACACGAUUCUGUUAUAUAUCGUGCUGUUAACAUGUAUGGAUUACUUUUUUUAAAAUCAGUUUUUAAUUUUGGAAUGGCUUUAGAGUCCAUCAGUUUAUUUUGUUUUUUUCCAUUAUUGUUGGUUUACAGUGUACUGUCGAUUUUCUACUGUACAGCAAGGUGACCCAGUCACAUAUACAUGUAUGCAUUCUUUUUCUCAUAUUAUCCUCCAUCCUGCUCCAGCAUAUGUGACUAGAGAGAAUUCCCAGUGCUGUACAGCAGGAUCUCAUUGCUUAUCCACUCCAAAGGCAAUAGUUUGCAUCUAUUAACCCCAGAUUCCCAGUCCAUCCCAUUCCCUCCCCCUCCCCCUUGGCAACCCCAAGUCUGUUCUCCACGUCCAUGAGUUUCUUUUCCGUGGAAGUUUAUUUGUGCCGUAUAUUAGAUUCCAGAUAUAAGUGAUAUCAUAUGGCAUUUGUCUUUCUGACUUAUUUCACUUAGUAUGAGUCUCUAGUUCCACCCAUGUUGCUGAGAAUGGCAUUAAUUUGUCUUUUUUUUUUUUUGCUAAGUAGUUUUCCACAACUUCUUAAUCCAUUCAUCUCUCAAAGAUUCCAUCAUUUUAGAAACAGUAAAGUUUGCAGGAUGGAUGGUCCAGAGAGUUCCCACAUACCUCUCAACACAUCCCUCCUACUGCUAACAGCUGGCAUGACUAUGGUACCUCAGCUAGAAAAGCAACUGCAGCUCCAUGCUCUCUUUGAUCUCCCAGGUUUUCCCUAAUGCCCUUUUUCUGGUCCAGGUCUGAGCCAGGGCACCACACUGGGUUUAGUGGUCAGGUCUGAUGUGGGACAGUGGCUCCGAGUCCCUACUCUGACCUCCUAGACAGUUUGAGAUUGGCCAGGUGUUCUGCACACCAUCCUCCCAUUGGGUUUGUUUCAUGUUCCUCUCCUGAGGAACUGGGGUUAUGGGUUUUUUGAGAAAAUGACCCAGAAGUGAAGUACUCAUCCCCUCCUUUUAAAGGCACAUGCUCUCAGCACCACUUCUCCCUGAACAUGUUGACCUUGGCCACCUGGCCACGAUAGGUUUUGGAGUUUCCUUCACUGCAAAGGCCCCCUUCCUCUUGCCACAGCCUGCUCCUUGGAAGCAGGUCACUAAGGACACCUUCUCAGGGUGGUGUCUGCAUCAAGAGUUUGUUAUUCUUUCUUGCAGGAGAUUUGUCUCUUUCUCCGUGUUUAUUCAUAUCUGGUGGAUACAAGGAUACUUUUAGCUUUGCAUCAUCAUCUAACAGGACAUUAUUUUUCUUGCUCAAACUGCUCUAGCUCUGGCCACCCCAGGCUCUUCCUGGUUGGCUGGUUGGCCCCUGUGUCCCAUUGACAUUCCUCCGCGGUAUCUUCUGAGUGCCUUCUUUCCUGACACUUGCAGGAGCCCCAGGCUCGCCGUGCAGAUUCUCCAUCACAGUCUCACCAGCCCUUUCUGCAAGGAGGCCUGGUUCCUUCACCUGGAGGGUGGUAUUAGAGAUCCAGCUGGGUACUGGGUACAGCUGACUUCAUCUGCAUUCUGCGACACGAAAGCCAAAUCGAUGGGUCCUUUUCCCGUCGACACCUUCUUCUUAGGUUUUGAAGAUUUGUGCCUAAGGGUUUACGGUAGGGUGACCUCACAGGGAUUGUGAUGGUCACUGGUAGCCGUGAAGGAUGCUGCUCUGAUGGGGGGGGGGUGCUGCGAAGAACGGAGCAGGAAAAUGGAAAGAAAUGGGCAUUAUUGAUACCAGUAUUUGUGAUUUCAGUGUCUUUUUAUGAUAGUGCUUUUCCUCAAAAAAGGAACUUUCUGGGAGUUCCUGCCGUGGCUCAGCAGUUAAUGAAUCUGACUAGCAUCCAUGAGGACGCAGGUUCGACCCCUGGCCUCACUCAGUAGGUUAAGGAUCUGGUGUUGCCAUGAGCUGUGGUGUAUGUAGGUUGCAGAUGCAGCUUGGAUCCUGCAUUGCUGUGGGUGUGGUGUAGGCCAGCAGCUGUAGCUCUCGACCCCUAACCUGGGAACCUC
rnacentral:lncRNA from 9 species